AGUGAACGCUGGCGGUAGGCCUAACACAUGCAAGUCGAACGGAAGCACAGUAAGAGCUUGCUCUUACGGGUGGCGAAUGGCGGACGGGUGAGGAAUGCAUCGGACUCUACUUUUUCGUGGGGGAUAACGUAGGGAAAGUUACUCUAAUACAGGAUACGACCUACGGGGGAGAGCAGGGGAUCUUCUGGCCUUGCGGGGAUGGAUGAGCCGAUGACGGAUUAGCUAGUUGGCGGGGUAAAGGCCUACCAAGGCGACGAUCCGUAGCUGGUCUGGGAGGAUGGUCAGCAACAUUGGAACUGAGACACGGUCCAGACGCCUAAGGGAGGCAGCAGUGGGGAAUAUUGGACAAAGGGGGAAAGCCUGACCCAGCCAUAGCGAGUGGGUGAAGAAGGCGUUCGGGUUGGAAAGCCCUUUUGUUGGGAAAGAAAAGCAGCAGGUUAAGACGCCGCGGUUCUGACGGUACCCAAAGAAUAAGCACCGGCUAACUUCGUG
rnacentral:rRNA from 1 species